rnacentral:rRNA from 1 species
UACGGAGGGUGCAAGCGUUAUCCGGAUUCACUGGGUUUAAAGGGUGCGUAGGUGGCUUUGUAAGCCAGUGGUGAAAGCCCGGAGCUCAACUCCGGAACUGCCAUUGAUACUGCUUAGCUUGAAUCACGUCGAGGUGGAUGGAAUAAUACAUGUAGCGGUGAAAUGCUUAGAUAUGAUAUUAGUAACACCGAUUGCGAAGGCAGUUCACUAGGCUGUGUAUUGACACUGAGGCACGAAAGCGUGGGGAUCAAACAGG